CCAAUAGCGUAUAUUAAAGUUGUUGCAGUUAAAAAGCUCGUAGUUGAAUUUCGGGAUCAAUAUGUCGGUCGUGCCAUCGGUACGUACUGGUAUCAUUGGUUUCUCCUUUCUGACGAACCAUGAUGUCAUUAAUUUGGUGUUAUAGGGAGUUAGGACUGUUACUUUGAAAAAAUUAGAGUGUUUAAAGCAGGCUUUAGCUUGAAUACAUUAGCAUGGAAUAAUGAAAUAGGACGUUCGAACCUAUUUUGUUGGUUUCUAGGAUCAACGUAAUGAUUAAUAGGGAUAGUUGGGGGCAUUAGUAUUCAAUUGUCAGAGGUGAAAUUCUUGGAUUUAUUGAAGACUAACUACUGCGAAAGCAUUUGCCAAGGAUGUUUUCAUUAAUCAAGAACGAAAGUUAGGGGAUCGAAGACGAUCAGAUGCCGUCGUAGUCUUAACCAUAAACUAUGCCGACUAGGGAUCGGAUGAUGUUAAUUUUUUAAUGACUCAUUCGGCGCCUUACG
rnacentral:rRNA from 1 species